CCUACGGGAGGCUGCAGUGAGGAAUAUUGGUCAAUGGGCGCGAGCCUGAACCAGCGAAGUCGCGUGAAGGAUGACUGCCCUACGGGUGGUAAACUUCUUUUAUAAAGGAAUAAAGUGAGUCACGUGUGCCGUUUUGUAUGUACUUUAUGACUAAGGAUCGGCUAACUCCGUGCCAGCAGCCGCGGUAAUACGGAGGUUCCGGGGGUUAUCCGGAUUUAUUGGGUUAAACGGGUGCGCAGGCGGACGAUAAAGUCAGCGGGAAAAUCGAGUGGCCAAACCUCGUAGAGCCGUUGAAACUGGGAGUCUUGAGUGAGAGAGAAGUAUGCGGAAUGCGUGGUGUAGCGGUGAAAUGCAUAGAUAGCACGCAGAACUCCGAUUGCGAAGGCAGCAUACUGGCGCUUAACUGACGCUGAGGCACGAAAGCGUGGGUAGCGAACAGGAUUAGAUACCCGUGUAGUC
rnacentral:rRNA from 1 species